ensembl:lncRNA
GACAUUAGUAAAAAUAAGUCUCACGGCUAGACAAACUGUCAUAUACAAGCAUGAACUGGUAUCCAGAACAUAAUAUUUAAAUAAUGUUUCUGAAGACUGCACACAGUUUUGUUCAAUUUAUGUAAAGCUCAAACACCUGCAAAACUAAACAGGAUAAACUCUAUAGAUACAAUUAGGUUAAAAAAAUAUGACGAGGCUGGGCUCUGUGGCUCUUGCCUAUAACCCCAACACUUUGGGAGGCUGAGGUGGGUGGACCACUUGAGGCCGGGAAUUGCAGAUCAGUCUAGCCAACACGGCAAAAUCUUGUCUCUACUAAAAAUAUAAAAGCUAGCCAGGCAUGCUGUGACACACCAGUAAUCCCAGCUGAGGCAUGAGAAUUGCUUGAACCCAGGAGGCGGAGUUUGCAGUGAGCUGAGAUCAUACAACUGCACUUCAACUUGGGCGACAGAGCAAGACUCUGUGUCAAAAAAAAAAAAACCCUUAAAAAACAAAGCAAAAAAAGCCCAAACCAAAGCAAACCAAAAACAAAACAAAACAAAAACCCAACUAUGAUGAUAAACAAGUAAAACAGCAACCACACAAAACCUUUGUGGAGAAGAGAGAAAAGGGGAUAAAGGAAGACCACAUAGAGAAUUUCAAAGAUACUAAAUUUAUCUAGAGCAGACUUUGGCUCCAAACUCAGAACAGAUGGAGAGAGACAUGCUGUCUAAGAAAAGCAGAAAUGACAAAAUUGCAUUCCGGUUUGAAUGUUCUUCAUUAAGAGUGUUUAUUGUGUUAAUGCUGUGACUACAUCAUCCUACUCCAAGGAAGAGAAGAAUUUCCCAAGGGGAGAAAAGACAAGAAACCAGACUUCCCUUUCAAAGAGUUAGCUUCACACAGACUAGAGUCAUGGAGAAAUGGGAUUGAAAAUGAAACGCAUCUUUGACAAAAGGGAAGGGAAAGAGCAAGGGAGCAAGGCUGCUCUUUCUGGGAAGACGAGGAAUAGGAAAACAUUGCCUAAGUGUUUUACUGAACAGAACUUCUGCCCCUGCAUAACUAAAAUGUGACAACACCCUUUCAGAUGGUCUCUGCUUCACUACAAACCACCUGGAUACUCUACUCACUAUCCUAAAUGCAUUUAACAUCACAACACAUUAGCAAGUAAUGAUGUUUUAAUGAGAUUUUAUAUAGGAAGAGAAUAGGAAUAUUUCACUAUGUACCCAAGUGAAAACAUAAUAUGCUUCCUCCAGAUUAUGGUGGUUUUUUGUUUCAAGUUCACUAGCCAUCUCAUUUCUCCUUCUUCCUCCCUCAUGUGUAAUCUAAAAUUGUUUUUCUGGUUCUGAAUAAUUCUGCUCUGAUCUCACCUUAUAUUCUCCAAUGAAGUGAUAGACAGGCUCAUCAAUUGUCACUUCAUCUGGGAGCAUCAACGGUCACUUAAGAGUGGCUAUUGGAUCUCUGAUAUCCUACUCUAGAUGGCUUAUCAAAAUUUCUGUUUAACAGAAAUAGCUUCUUCCUGUGUGGGGACUUAAAUUGGCUUAGAGAAAGUGAUUGCUAAGGAAAAAGUUUCAUGUACUUUUCUAUGUAUGUUUGCAUAUGUGUGUGUAUGUGUGUAUAUACACACAAGUGAU